GGGCCGGUAACUCAGUGGUAGAGGUUAGUUCACUCAUUCACUCACUCAUCAAUUGUCACUAACAGCAUCACAGUGUAGGACUGCAGCUCACCAAAGCCGUCUUCCCGAAGUCACCGGUUCGACUCCGGUUCGGCCCU